ensembl:miRNA Mir3569 microRNA 3569
UCGGAGGAGAGCAGACCGGUGGUCGAAAUCCGGACCUCAGUCUGCGCUCCUCUCCAGC